AUUGAACGCUGGCGGCAGGCCUAACACAUGCAAGUCGAACGAGUGGCGGACGGGUGAGUAAUGUCUGGGAAACUGCCUGAUGGAGGGGGAUAACUACUGGAAACGGUAGCUAAUACCGCAUACCAUCGGAUGUGCCCAGGUGGGAUUAGGUAGUAGGUGGGGUAAAGGCUCACCUAGGCGACGAUCCCUAGCUGGUCUGAGAGGAUGACCAGCCACACGGGAACUGAGACACGGCCCAGACUCCUACGGGAGGCAGCAGUGGGGAAUAUUGCGCAAUGGGCGCAAGCCUGACGCAGCCAUGCCGCGUGAAUGAAGAAGGCCUUCGGGUUGUAAAGUUCUUUCAGUAGGGAGGCGUUACCUACAGAAGAAGCACCGGCUAACUCCGUGCCAGCAGCCGCGGUAAUAC
rnacentral:rRNA from 1 species